rnacentral:rRNA from 1 species
GCACGGGCCGCAGCACAAACAUGCAGUUCGAGCGGAUGACGGGAGCUUGCUCCUUGAUUCAUCGGCGGAGGGGUGAGUAAUGCCUAGGAAUCUGCCUGGUAGUGGGGGACAACGUUUCGAAAGGAACGCUAAUACCGCAAACGUCCUACAGGAGAAAGCAGGGGACCUUCAGGCCUUGCGCUAUCACAUGAGCCUAAGUCGGAUUAGCUAGUUGGUGGGGUAAUGGCUCACCAAGGCGACGAUCCGUAACUGGUCUGAGAGGAAGAUCAGUCACACUGGAACUGAAACACGGUCCAGACUCCUACGGGAGGCAGCAGUGGGGAAUAUUGGACAAUGGGCGAAAGCCUGAUCCAGCCAUGCCGCGUGUGUGAAGAAGGUCUUCGGAUUGUAAAGCACUUUAAGUUGGGAGGAAGGGCAAUAAGUUAAUACCUUGCUGUUUUGACGUUACCGACAGAAUAAGCACCGGCUAACUCUGUGCCAGCAGCCGCGGUAAUACAGAGGGUGCAGGCGUUAAUCGGAAUUACAGGGCGUAAAGCGCGCGUAGGUGGUUUGUUAAGUUGGAUGUGAAAGCCCCGGGCUCAACCUGGGAACUGCAUCCGAAACUGGCAAGCUAGAGUACGGUAGAGGGUGGUGGAAUUUCCUGUGUAGCGGUGAAAUGCGUAUAUAUAGGAAGGAACACCAGUGGCGAAGGCGACCACCUGGACUGAUACUGACACUGAGGUGCGAAAGCGUGGGGGAGCAGACACGAUUAGAUACCCUGGUACUCCACGCCCUACACGAUGUCUACUAGCCCUUUGGAAUCCUUGAGAUUUUAGUGGCGCAGCUCACGCAUUAACUUGACCGUCUGGGGGAGUACGGCCGCACGGUGAGAACUCAAAUGAAUUGACAGGGGCCCGCACCACCGUGACAUGUGGUUUUAUUCUUAUUUACACGAGACCUUACCACGCCUUGACAUGCGAGACUUUGCAGAAUGAUUGGUGGCGUGCGGACUCUGACUCAGUACUGCAG